CUUUGCUCCAUGUGGGGAUUAGCAGUGUGGUCACAUACCAGCCUCACAUCCAUAGAACCAUCUCUAAGGUCAUAAGGCACAGCCACCAACCUGUACCCACUGACCAUAUCCCACAGUGCCACAUCCCCACAGUUCUUAAACACCUCCAGGGUUAGUGACCCCACCACCUCCCUGGGCAGCUGUGCCAAUGUCUGACAGACCCCAGCCCAUUUUGGAAUGCCAGAACAAACACCCCUUAAACAAUGUAAGUAAUCACUUUUAGAUAGACCAUUGUGUGUGGCAUUCAUCUGGGAGAUGCUAUCUGUGAAUGGCGUUUGUGUGUUAGUGUAGUUAAAAAGCACGUGAGAUUACAUCUUUGGCUAGUGUUUUUAUUUGCUACAGUAUGGUAAUUGAAUUACUUUAAUCUGUGGUUGAAUUUUUUAAUGUAGCUAACCCUGAGGGAAAUGGUGUAAGGCUUCUUUUACUAAAAUUAGCCCCGGUAAACUUAAAUUCACCCUUUCCACCAGCUCUCAGCAGAACACUCAUCAUAAAAAGGGGUGUGAGUCCAAUAGCAACACAGAGAGGUUUGAUAAGUUCCAUUCCAGUUCUAUGUUUUCCCCAGAACCCCUCUCUAGCUGAUGUGUGGCAGUGAGAUGCUGUGGGACAUGGCAGAAGACUGGGGCAGCUUCCUGCUCCGGAUGGUGACUUCAAAGCCGGUGUCAGCACUCGCUCCAGCAGCCAGGGCAGUGACAGCCUGCACACGGGUUGGGGGGCACCGGGGCCAUCCAUCCUGCAGACCUCCAACCAGAGCUACAAUAGCACCCCAUCUUUUGUAUCUGAAAACAAACACAAGGUUGAUUCUAGAUUUGUGAUGUGCAAAGGCUCUUCAGCAGUGUG
ensembl:lncRNA